GCAGCCCUGGGGAAGGACUGUGUCCCUGAAGGGCUGAGGGAACCACUAGCACCCUGGACAGAGCAGUACUGGGCCAGGUCUGGGGAGUAAGAGGGAGCCCCAGCCUGACUGGCUGAAAGACUGAAGCCCAGAUACAGGGGCAGAGAAGGUGCUAGGGCUAUGGGGAAGUGGCCCAGGGAAACGGGGGUUGAAGGAGAUGCAGCAUGUGGGUGCCGCCUUAGAGGGUCCUUGGGCCGGGACCAGGAGUAGUGAGUGGGCCUGGGUCUCCUCUCCCUCUCGCUUCCACUUCCUACUGAGGAGAGUGGCCAGUAAAGGGCUGCAGUUUGCCUCUGAGGCAAGUGACUAGAACCUUGGGCUGCAGUUGGCCAUGGAGGCGAGUGGCUGGCCAGAGGACUGCCGCUCCCCUGGAAGCGGGAGAGUACAGAAUGGGGCACAGCCGGAAUGGGCUAUGUCCUGAAGAGGAUGCCGUGAUCCUUGAGGCAACAUGUGUCCGGAGCAGAAGUGGUGGCAGUGAGACACUACCAGAGGAGGGCACCUGUGAAAAGACUGAGCUAAUUCCCAGAACAACUAGCAGGUGGCACCAUGGUGUGUCAAACUAACUGAAGAAUAAAGAGUUUGCAAUGUGUAUCCUACAUUAUGAAUCCUGCUUUAGACAGCUCCUGUUGUAAACAGACCAGUUGCCCUACUCAAUUACAAGUGUUGUGGUGCCUUCUUAAGACCCGAGCCUGUCAAGUCAUGGAUGUCAGCAACUUUACUCAUGUGAGUUGUUCCAUUGACUACUUGCCUGAAUGAAGCUAUUCAUGUGCUUACGCCUUUGCAGGACUGGGCCCUUUAAAACUGUUCCACAGCAAAUGGCUUGUGUCUGAAUUGUUUGUCACGUAGUUAAACAGUGACUUAAACCUGAAAAGCUUUUUAGCCCCCCCCCAGUGGUGGAAAAUAUUAAAUCAAUGGUUUGUACUAAUAAUCUGGAAAUAAAAAUCUGAAGAAACUUUCCCCACCCCUUGUUCUACCGUAGCAGGCUGGAAUGACCUACUUUCUGUGCUUUGUCUUUUUUUAAAAAAAAAAAAAGCUUAAAAUUUUAAACAAAAAUUAAUCACUUGACUGCAGGCAAUGAGAUGUCUGUGUGUGAAGGGUGGCAACACAAGAGAAGUCCCAAGAUUGAACUGAGUCUGACCUUGAAUUGAAUAAACAUUGUUUGUUUUCUUGAUUU